CCCUCAAUAUGUGAUACUGUGAAAUAUAUAUUUGGUCUUUGACCCAGUUUCCUGUCAUAUGACUCCUAAAAUCCUUAGAAUCUCCAAAGUGAUAUCUGCUGUAUGCUAAUGAGUUGACUGAUGGCUGGCAGCCCCUAGGUAACUUUAACUUUAGGAUGAGAGCUGGUCACCAGAAAGGCCAAGGUAGGUUUAGAGGGUUGGGACUUUCGGCCCCACUCCCUAACAUUCAGGGAAGGGAGAGGGGCUGAAGGCUAAUUUGGUCACCAAUGACCAAAGCUUAAAUCAGUCAUGCCUAUGUAAUGAAGCCUCCCUUUUGGAGGUUUGGAGAGCUUUUGAAGAACUGAGCAUGUGGAGGUUUCUGGAGGGUGAUGCUUCAGGAGAGGGCAUAAAAGCUUCAUGCCCCGUCCCCAAACCUUGCCCUAUGCAUCACUUCUAUAUCCUUUGUAAUAUCCUUUAUAAUAAACUGGUAUUGUAACCACCUGAUGGGUUCUUCCUGCCUGCUGCACAAAAAAGACUAUGCCAUUAUAGUAAAGAAAGACUUUGGCAAGUCAUGGUGACUCAUGCCUGUAAUCCCAGCACUUUU